rnacentral:rRNA from 1 species
GAUGAACGCUGGCGGCAUGCCUAAUACAUGCAAGUCGAACGAGAGGAAGGAAAGCUUGCUUUCCUGAAUCUAGUGGCGAACGGGUGAGUAACACGUAGGUAACCUGCCCAUGUGCCCGGGAUAGCUUCUGGAAACGGAUGCUAAAACCGGAUAGGUAGCAGACAAGCAUUUGACUGCUAUUAAAGUGGCUAAGGCCAUGAACAUGGAUGGACCUGCGGUGCAUUAGCCAGUUGGUGAGGUAACGGCCCACCAAGGCGACGAUGCAUAGCCGGGCUGAGAGGGCGGACGGCCACAUUGGGACUGAGACACGGCCCAAACUCCUACGGGAGGCAGCAGUAGGGAAUUUUCGUCAAUGGGGGGAACCCUGAACGAGCAAUGCCGCGUGAGUGAGGAAGGUCUUCGGAUCGUAAAGCUCUGUUGUAAGAGAAAAACGACAUUCAUAGGGAAUGAUGAGUGAGUGAUGGUAUCUUACCAGAAAGUCACGGCUAACUACGUGCCAGCCGCCGCCGUAACAC